rnacentral:antisense_RNA from 2 species
AGCGAGGCUUGCCCGCGAAGAGGUUAACGCGGUCUUCCUAAUAGACCGCGUCAAUUUCUUCGCGGGCAAGCCUCGCU